rnacentral:rRNA from 1 species
CACGUGGGCAACCUGCCUAUAAGACUGGGAUAACUUCAGGAAACCGGAGCUAAUACCGGAUAAUGUCUUUCUACUCAUGUAGGAAAACUGAAAGAUGGUUUCGGCUAUCACUUAUAGAUGGGCCCGCGGCGCAUUAGCUAGUUGGUGAGGUAACGGCUCACCAAGGCGACGAUGCGUAGCCGACCUGAGAGGGUGAUCGGCCACACUGGGACUGAGACACGGCCCAGACUCCUACGGGAGGCAGCAGUAGGGAAUCUUCCGCAAUGGACGAAAGUCUGACGGAGCAACGCCGCGUGAGUGAUGAAGGUUUUCGGAUCGUAAUACUCUGUUGUUAGGGAAGAACAAGUACCGGAGUAACUGCCGGUACCUUGACGGUACCUAACCAGAAAGCCUCGGCUGACUACAUGCCAGCAGCCG